UACGUAGGGUGCAAGCGUUGUCCGGAAUUAUUGGGCGUAAAGAGCUCGUAGGCGGUCUGUCGCGUCUGCUGUGAAAACGCGGGGCUCAACCCCGCGCCUGCAGUGGGUACGGGCAGACUAGAGUGCAGUAGGGGAGACUGGAAUUCCUGGUGUAGCGGUGGAAUGCGCAGAUAUCAGGAGGAACACCGGUGGCGAAGGCGGGUCUCUGGGCUGUAACUGACGCUGAGGCGCGAAAGUGUGGGGAGCGAACCGG
rnacentral:rRNA from 1 species